rnacentral:lncRNA from 1 species
GGCAGAGGGGAUGCUAUUGAGGAGAGAGAAAAAGGCUGGAAAUGGCCACAGUGGAGAGUGAGAUAGUGAAUUGAUUAGAGAGUAGAGUAAUUGCCUUGCUGCAGUGAGGGCCCAGUUGAGAUUAGAUAACAUGUAUUUGUAGUAAACCAAAUCAGCAUGAUUUUGUGAUUUCCUUCAGAUCUGUACAUGAAUAGAUGCAAAGGAGGCAUUUGGUGGAAUGGAGAGCUAUGAUCAGCAUAUUCAAGGAUUUAUUGGUGCAUGUUUAACAACAGGUUCUACUAUUUGAAAAUAGAAUGAAGGACCGUGAGCACUUCCAAUCAUCCUUUAAUGUGGGGGAAUGUCCAUUAUUACUGUCUUCUACAUCAGCUUGGGGUUCCUGAGCUACCUAAGGUUUGAAGUAGCUAUCCAUGCUAGCAUAACCCAAUUGUGGCUAAAGCAUAAUGGGAAUAUUAGAAGCGGCUGGUUUUCAAGAAAACAAAAUUCUAUUCCUUUUCGGAAUUCCAGCUAAUGCUUUGUAAGACUCUAUUUGACUGCAAUCACACUUUGCAUCAGAAGAAAUCUGGUGAUGAGGUAAAUAUGAGGAUGAGGGGGAAAGAGGAGGAAAAACUCAAGCAAUCCUUGCUUUCAGCACGGAUUUGGACAAACAAGUUCAUCUUCAGCUGAGGGCUGAGGAUGAUGAGGGAGGCCAGGAGAACAGGUGAGUUGGAAGUAUGUCCUGUUACUGUGUGGGAGAUAUACUAAUUUGGUAAACCUAUUUCUCCACCCCCAGAGAAUUUAUUAACUGGGAUUGGCCCCAGGUGGAGGUGGGAAGGAGCUGGUCCUGUGUUAUCUGAGGGUAUUGAAAUGUACCCUGGAUUGACUAGGAAGAUCUAGGUCCUAGUUCUUCUGACAGUAUGAUCCUAAACAAGUGGUUUAACCUUCUGAACUUGUUUUUGCAUCUAUAACGUGGCUAUAAUAAUACUUGCCCUAAAAUUAUAGGAUCUUAGGGGUUAUGUAGUCCAACCUCUCACCCUAAGUAGGAAUUUUCAUUUCACAAUAUUCCUAAUAAGUGGUCAUCUAAUUUGUGCUUGAAUGCUUUUACUUAGAGGAAAUUCACUACCUUAAAAGCAAGCCCAUUUAAAUUCCCAACAUUUCUAAUUAUGAAAAAUCUCAUCUUUAUAUAAUCUGGUUUUCCUCUAAAUUCUACUCAUUUGUCCUAUUUUCCUUUUAUUUUUGAAAAUGUAUUUUACUUUUUCCAAUUACAUGUAAGAAAUUUUUUUAAUAUUUUUUUUGUUUUGAGUUCCAAAUUCCCUCCCUCCCCCUCUCCCUGAGAUGCAAUUUGAUGUUACACUUGUGUAGUCAUACAAAAUUUAUUUCCAUAUUAGUCAUUUUGUGAAAGAAAACCCAGACCAAAAAAAGAA